CAAGUCGAGCGAACAGAUAAGGAGCUUGCUCCUUUGACGUUAGCGGCGGACGGGUGAGUAACACGUGGAUAACCUACCUAUAAGACUGGGAUAACUUCGGGAAACCGGAGCUAAUACCGGAUAACAUAUUGAACCGCAUGGUUCAAUAGUGAAAGGCGGCUUUGCUGUCACUUAUAGAUGGAUCCGCGCCGUAUUAGCUAGUUGGUAAGGUAACGGCUUACCAAGGCAACGAUACGUAGCCGACCUGAGAGGGUGAUCGGCCACACUGGAACUGAGACACGGUCCAGACUCCUACGGGAGGCAGCAGUAGGGAAUCUUCCGCAAUGGGGG
rnacentral:rRNA from 1 species